rnacentral:lncRNA from 1 species
GGCACACACACUUCCCUCUCACUAUGUGAUGUCCUCUGUCAUGUUAUGACAUAGUGAGAAGGGCCUCACCAGCAGCAGCCUCUCAACCUUGGACCCCCUGAAGAAAUGUAAGAAAUAAAUUUCUUUUCUUUAUAAAUUAUCUAAUUUUUGAUGUUCUGUUAUAGCAAAGAAAAUGGACUAAGAUAGUGGGUCUGGAGGACUUGGUUCUCUGUUAGGAGGAAAUGCUGCCACCAGAGAGCACACUAAAGGUUACCCUGAAUCUAAAGGUAUGAUUACCCUCUGAUUAUUUUGGAAUCCUCAUGCUAGUAGAACAGCAGACAAUGGACGGGAGAUAUAAUUGCCUCUGAUCACCAUAAAGAAGUUGGAUACCUGAUACUAAAUGGCGACACAGAGGAAUAUAUCUGAAAUUCAAGGGAUCUGUUUGGGCAUCUGUUGGUGGUCCCAUGCCUCAUAUUAACCAUGAACAGACAAUUGCAGGGAUGGUGGCCUGACAAAGGGAAGCAGGGGCUCAGAUUCAUCCAGGUUAAAGAUCUGGUCACCUCCUAGGGUAAGUAAGCUUUGUUACAUUAAAUUUGAAGUGCUAAUCAGACUAUACAAGUGGAGAUGUAGAGUAAGCAAUUGGAUACACAAUUCUGGAGUUGGGAGAGGUCCAGGUUAGAAAUAUGUAUUUAGGAGUCAUCAUCAUAUGGAAUGGAUGAGUCUACCUAGUCGGUGAGUAUAAGUUACAAAAAGAAGAAUUGAGGUCUGGGUCACACCAAUGUUUAGAGGACAUGACCUUUCAGUAUUUGUUUGCAGAGGUGACAGGUGGGAGGAAAAUCAGGCAUUUGGCAUUCUCAAAGCCAAGUGAAGAUAGUUUCCAAGGAGGAGAGUUAUCAGCUGUGUCAGAUGCUGCUGGUAGUUGAAGUAAAAUGAGGAUCGAGUGUUGACUCUUGGUUUUUGUGGUGUAAAAUUUAUUGGUGAUCUUGACAAGAUAGGUUUCAGUGGAAUGGUAGGGGCACAAAACCUGAAUGAGCUUGAAAAUGGCGAGGAAACAAAUAAGAGACAGUAGAUGUAGAAAACCCUUUCAAAGAGUUGUGUUGUUUUGAAAAAUGUGGGAGUUGGGAGAGAAUAGGCCAGAGCUCCUAAAAUCUACCUAGAAUCAGUGGAGAGAAGAGAGAGUGAAUGGGAAGAGAUGUGUUUGGGUGGAGAGAUAUGUGGUGGGAGCUUGGAAAGUCUCUUCUAAUUGCUCAAUUUUCUUAGAGAAAUAGAAGGGGGGUCAUCAGCAGAGAGUGAGAAGCUAGAGGUUUGAGGAGACAUGGGAGGAUGCAUAUAGGCUAUAUGCAAAUAUCAUACCAUUCUAUACAGCAUCCAUGGAUGAAUCACACAGUUGUCAAGGGAGUGGGAGUAUGAAUGCAGGUAAAGUGUGAAGCUGGGCAGUAUCAAGGGGUCACCCAAAAUUAGGGGUCAGGGAGUUAGAUUAUGGAUUUCAUGAUGUGACUGGGUAAAAUGUACUUUCAUUAGCUUGCUGAUUGAUCUAUAUUGGCUCUGAAGAAGUCAGGUAAAUUUUUUGUUCUUGGCCUUUAUCCAACUUAUCUUGAAAACUUUGGCAGUGUCACUAAGCAGUUGAGCUUCUUCUGUCCAAAGGUGAUUAUUCCCCUGGCUAAUAACAUAACCUAUUGGUGAACGUUGAGAAGAGCUGAAAAUGAUUGCACACAUUUAAAUACCUGGAAAAGCCAGUUGCAGCACUAAAUGUUGUGUAUCCAUGCUAUCGUUGCUCAUUUCUUGUAGAACUUUCCUUAUCUGUGUUCUUUGAUAAGGGUUGAGGUGUGGAAAGGUGAGGUCCUUAAAGGAUAAUUGUCAACACAUCCACUGCCUCAUUCCACCAUAUAUUCAAAUUCAGAACAUCUCAACACAGAUUAAAACACUUAAUUUCCAGUACCAAGCUACACUCUUAACCAAAUUAAGUAUAAGAUAGGGAAGAUAAGAAGCCCUAAGGCGUUAAUCAUUAGAAGAGUCAUCCCAGUAACCAAUAUUUAUAAUGGUCUUUCUGUUGGCAACUUAGAGGUUUCUUCACUCGAAUUCACACACCAUAGUAAAAUAAGGAUAGGAGCAGAAUAAGACUCUCCUCCUUUUUGAGCUUGGCCAACUAAAAGGGGAGGUAGUAAAGCGAAUUUUACAUCGCCUUGAACGCAGGUGCUUUCUCAGGUGGAUCAUUUCUCAGGCAGGUCAUUAGGAAAGAACACACAUGGAGGCUGAAUAUCUGAAAACUGAUUUCUUGUUUUAAGAAACAACUUUGUUGAAGCAUAUCGUAAAAUUUAAGUCUACAAUUCAAUGAUUUUUGUAACUUUACCAAGUAGUGCAACCAUCACAUUUGGUGAGUUGUAGAGCAUCUUUAUUGCUCCAAUAAGACCCCUCAUGCCCUUUACAGUUGAUCCCUGUUCCAAGCCCCAGACCUAGGCAACCUUUAUCUAUUUUGUCUCUAUAAAUUUUAUAAAUUUGCUUUUCUGAAUCUUUCAUACUAAUGAAGAAAUUGAUUUUUAAAACAUAUAUAUGCCUACUAAUACCUCUUGGAAAGUCUUUGCAUAUAUACUGUUCUGUAGCAUUCUCUUGCCCAAGGGAUGGGACACCUGUCUCAGGCCUAUGGCAUUUUUGGAGGAAUAUCUAUUCAUAUCUCUGUAUCUCUAUGGAUCUAUUUAUAUAAAAUAUUCAACAUACAGUUUUCAUAUUACCUUGGUGGUGAGUCCCAGUUCCUUUGUCUAGGGCACAGAGGGAAUCCCAGCGACAGGAAUAGCUCAAGAUUGGGCAGGUCCUGGGUGUCUGGGCAGCUGCUGUUCUCUCUCCUCUCUAAGUCAGGCCAUCCUUUCCUUUCUUCUCCCACCAGGACACACCAGGAUGUCUCCCUGCCCUCUUUCCAGACUUCACUUUGUUAAGUCACCAAAGCCCCAAACCAGGAUGGAGACUCCUUCUGAAAGACACCAAAUCACAUUCUGUCCAUCAUGCAGGGCAUCUUUCACAGCUUUGCUUACCACCACAGGGCACAGGGACCUCUCUGAAUCUCUAUGGACUGUGCACAUGAGCUCUCAGGAAUUCUGGUCCUUUCCUUAUAUUUUCUAUGUUAACAUAUGGGCCCACUGUCCAUUCAGUUGUCUACGUCAGAAACUGCAGUCAGCCAAGAUCCUUCUCACUUCUUCCAUAUCCAAUUGUCACCAAGCCCUGCUAAUAUGAUAUCUGCUAUCUUUUAGUUGAUCUUCUCCUGAUUCCUCGGUCGCUGCGUUUUGUUGGAGUGGUCAUCUGUCUUGCCUGGAGUGUAGUUGUAGCUUCUGUUCUGCUCUUACUUCAAAACUAAGCUGGAGGAACCUUUCCAAGGUGAAAAGCUGAUCAAGUUCGUCUCAUUGUGGAGAUUCAACCAUGGCUCUCCCUUGGCUUUGAUGAUAAAAUGUACAUUUCUUGCCUUCCCAUACUGGGACUUUGUUGAUUUGUUCCUGACUCCUCUCCCUUUGCCUUCACAAGCUCCUUCUACUACAAACAUAACAAUGUUCUUGCAUUUCAUGCUUGCAUCUUCUCAUUCCCUGGAUUGUUCCUACUCUUCCCUCAGACUGAACAAAGCCAUCCCUUCUGCAGGGAAGCCUUAUAAAUACAUCUACUUGGUUUUACAUGGCUGUCUCUCCAACCCAACUUUCAGGGUUUCCCCUGCCCCUCCUCCCACUGCCAUCAGGCUGACAAUAUCUUAAGGGCACAAUUUAUAUUUUAUACUUCUCCAGAGUCAUUGAAUAUGAUAGAUAGCCAUUCAUUAUUUGGAGUUUCUUAGUCUCUUAAAAAAACACACCUCUUUUCGGAGAAAGGGAAACAUGUACACUGCUGCUUGGACUAUAAAUUAGUUCAGCCAAUGUGGAAAGUGGUUUGAUGAUUUCUGAAAGAACCUAAAAAACAGAAUCACCAUUCAACUCAGCAACCUUAUUACUAGGUAUAUACCCAAAGGAAUGUAAAUCAUUCUGCUAUAAAGACACAUGCACACCUAUGUUUAUCACAGGACUAUUUACGAUAGCAAGGACA